GGGCUCUUAGCUCAGCUGGUUCAGAGCACCUGCCUUACAAGCAGGGGGUCACAGGUUCGAAUCCUGUAGGGCCCA
rnacentral:tRNA from 1 species